AGUUCGGAUUGUAGUCUGCAACCCGGCUACAUGAAGCUGGAAUCGCUAGUAAUCGCGGACCAGAAUGCCGCGGUGAAUACGUUCCCGGGUCUUGUACACACCGCCCGUCACACCAUGGGAGUCGGAAAUGCCCGAAGUCUGUGACCCAACCUCAGGGAGGGAGCAGCCGAAGGCAGGUCGGAUGACUGGGGUGAAGUCGUAACAAGGUACC
rnacentral:rRNA from 1 species